ensembl:miRNA Gm23841 predicted gene, 23841
CCUAAUAAACUUGACUUCCAGAUAAAUACACAUUUUAAACGGGUAAGUAUAUCUCAUGUGCUAUUUGGGACACACUUAUGCUAAAUCUGUAGCAUGCAGUGUUUGGAACGUAUA